rnacentral:tRNA from 1 species
GGAUUGUGGCUCAGUGGUAGAGCACUUGCUUAGCAUGCAUGAGGCACUGGGUUCAAUCCCUGGCACCA